rnacentral:rRNA from 1 species
UACGAAGGGGGCUAGCGUUGUUCGGAUUUACUGGGCGUAAAGCGCACGUAGGCGGAUCGUUAAGUCGGGGGUGAAAUCCUGGAGCUCAACUCCAGAACUGCCUUCGAUACUGGCGAUCUUGAGUCCGGAAGAGGUGAGUGGAACUCCUAGUGUAGAGGUGGAAUUCGUAGAUAUUAGGAAGAACACCAGUGGCGAAGGCGGCUUCUGGACCGUAACUGACGCUGAGGGCACGAAAGCGUGGGUAGCAAACAGG